rnacentral:rRNA from 1 species
AGUGAACGCUGGCGGUAGGCCUAACACAUGCAAGUCGAACGGCAGCACAGUAAGAGCUUGCUCUUACGGGUGGCGAGUGGCGGACGGGUGAGGAAUACAUCGGAAUCUACUUUUUCGUGGGGGAUAACGUAGGGAAACUUACGCUAAUACCGCAUACGACCUACGGGUGAAAGCAGGGGAUCUUCGGACCUUGCGCGAUUGAAUGAGCCGAUGUCGGAUUAGCUAGUUGGCGGGGUAAAGGCCCACCAAGGCAACGAUCCGUAGCUGGUCUGAGAGGAUGAUAGGCCACACUGGAACGGAGACAAGGUCAAGACUCCUACGGGAGGCAGCAGUAGGGAAUAUUCCGAAAUGGGCGAAAGCCUGACGGAGCAACGCCGCGGGAGUGAAGAAGGUCUUAGGAUCGUAAAACUCUGUUAUUAGGGAAGAAAAAAUGUGUAAGUAAAUAUGCACGUCUUGACGGUACCUAAUAAGAAAGCAACGGCUAACUACGUG